AACUCGCUUUCACACCUUGUCGAACUCGCUCCGAGUUUAAAAACAAAGCCUUGGAUAACUUUCCAAUUUAAAGCAAUGAAUCUCGGUGAAUCCACGCUAUGCUUUGCCCUGACAAUCGCCAUUAUCAAAUUCUCUCAUUUUCUGUUUCGCUUUAUUCGCUCUCUCAAGAUGUCGUCCUCUUCUUCCUCUGCUUCACCAACCGGCGAUGCUGUAACUCUCCGUCGAAACCGUAUUCUCUCAAGCAAGCUCUACUUCGACGUCCCUCUCUCAAAGGUUCCGCUAAUUUACUCGUCAGCUUAUGAUAUCUCGUUUCUUGGCAUAGAGAAGCUGCAUCCAUUUGAUUCAUCCAAAUGGGGACGUGUGUGCCGAUUUCUCAUAGUGGAGGGUGUGCUGGACAAAAAUGGUAUUGUUGAACCUCUGGAAGCUUCAAAGGAUGAUCUCCUUGUGGUAGUUUCUAUAUGUAUUGAAUUCUUUUACCCUUUCUUUCUAACUUUUGGAUGUAUUGCAUGUAUUAUGUUUGGAGAACUGAUCAAUCAAUAGAUUAAGGUAUAAUUUUCUACUCAAAUUAUGUAACUUGCAUUAAUUACCCUUCAGCCUGCACUGUACUACCUUGGUGGUCAUUAUUAGUAAUUUCUAAAGAACACUGGAAAAUGAAUGGCACAGAUAAAGAACCAUCACUGAUUUGCUGUUGACUUGUUCUAGUGAGAUGAGUGUAAGAGCGUGCAACUCUUUUAUGAAUAGAACUAAUUGAUUAUCUUUACCAGGUUCAUUCAGAGUCAUACUUGAGUAGUCUAAAGAGCAGUCCAAAUGUUGCCAUGAUAAUUGAGGUUCCUCCCGUUGCACUAUUUCCUAAUUGUCUUGUGCAGCAGAAGGUUCUUUUCCCAUUUCGCAAACAGGUAGGAGGAACCAUCUUGGCAGCUAAACUUGCGAAAGAGCAAGGAUGGGCCAUCAAUGUUGGAGGAGGGUUCCAUCACUGUUCUAGUGAAAAAGGAGGCGGUUUUUGUGCUUAUGCAGACAUUUCUCUUUGCAUACAUUAUGCCUUUGUGCGGUUGAAUGUAUCAAGGGUGAUGAUAAUUGACCUUGAUGCGCAUCAAGGAAAUGGCCAUGAAAUGGAUUUUUCCAAUGACAGUAUGGUCACUUGUUUUUCCUUAUGGUGCUUGGGUUUGACUUUUUUUUUUUUAAACUGAUAGCUUUGGACAUUUUUAAUGGAAGGCCGAGUCUAUAUUCUGGAUAUGUAUAACCCUGGAAUAUAUCCAUUUGUAAGUUGCAUGGACUCAAACUUGUGUACUGGUUCUUUUUUUUCUUGUCUUUUCAUCACUUCUCUGAUUUUGUUUUAGUAUUAUAGUUGUUAUCUGGUAACAAAUUAUGCUUACUGCUGUAUGAUUAUUGCUUACUUCUGUAUGAUUGUUCUUUAACAGGAUUAUGAGGCAAGGAGAUAUAUUGAUCAGAAAGUUGAAGUAGUGGUAAGCCAUCAGUAUUUUCUUGUUAAAAAUGAAUUGUAGGUUUUUUACCUUGUCCCAAUAUAAUGUGUUCUUUGUUCCUGAUUUUGAAAAGAGUGGGACCACAACAAAUGAGUACUUGAGGAAAUUAGAUGAAGCACUUGAGGUACACAGUAUACGUGCUCUUCACUUCAGUGCGCUUAGUUGGAUUGUUUCAUCGCAAUUGAAAAAAUAAGCUUUUGAAUGUGCUUUGACAAGGAAAUCUUGUUGAUAAGGGAACUUAUGUACUAUAUAUUGUCAUAUUUUCUGAUACUUUAUAUGCCUUAUUUAGAAGAUUGCAGGGCUUCUGGGAUUACAUCUUUUUGUUGUUUUCAUCUGUCAUCCUUGUACUGCCUGGAACAUCUCUCUCUCUCUCUCCCUCUCUCUCUCUCUCUUAGUGCUGCAAUGUGAGCAAAACUAAAAAAGGAAUAUGAUACCAAUAAUUAUGCAAAUGCAAGAGUGAAAUGCAAAAGUUUACCUACUAUCAGCACGUGUGAUAAUCCAGUUUAUACAGUUUUUCUGACAUUAAAAAAUAUCAUUAAACUGCUACUAAGCUCCAAAGGGGUACUAUCUCAAAAUUAAGGGAGGCUUAUACAAAUGAAAAGGAACUUACUUAAUCAGAAGCAAUAUGCUCAUCCAGCAAAAUUCUGCACCAAAGACAAAUGAAAAAAAACUGGUCCCCUUCUAAGGAGAACGGAAAAAUUUUUUUUUUACAUACUUUGGACCGCACCCUAAAGCUGCCUACGUACCUCCUUACAAUAUAAAAUGGAGGAUCAGGUCCACGUAGUUCUCAAAUUAAUCUCUAUUUAAGAACUGAGUACAAAGUACAUAGAUACUAUGCUACUCGUAGAACUCUUCCAUGUGAUUCAGCCAACUUCCAAACAUUAAGCAAUCCUGUUCCAUCACCGGUGAAAAAAAGACCACCAGGACCUGUCUCGAUUGUUUUUACUUCUCCCUUCGAAAAAAUCCUGCCCCUCUCGUUGAAUGAUGGUAGAUCAUAUAGGUAAAUAGAGUUGUCGUUGCAAGAGCAAAAUAAAACCGGUUUGUCUUCUGCGUCAGGCAUCCCGCAAAAAGCAAUAGCACCAUGCUUCAUCUCAUGUGUAUAGAUCACCUCUAUGUUCCCCUCUUCAGUAGAGGCCCAGACUUUUAUUGUCCGGUCUAAUGAACAAGACAACAAAUACUCAUCCCAGCAUAUAAGGGACAUCACAGCAUCGGCAUGACCAUUGAGCGUGUGAAUACACUGUAAAGUAUCGACUUCCCACGCCCUUAUUGUACUGUCCAUGGAACCAGAGUAAAGCCUAUCCCUUCCAAUAGUUAAGCAUAUCACAGCACCAGUAUGGCCUUUCAAAGAUGUGGCAAGUUCAAAAGGAUUUGGGUUUUCUGUACUCCCUUUACAUGCCAAAAUGGAACCAUCCUACAAACCCAAAAAAGAAAAGGAUCGGAAUAAUUCAUUUUUUAAGAUCAAAUGUGCAGUAUAACAAUUAAACACGAACGUUCCAACAAAUGGUGCCCUACAUCAGUGCCUUACAAUUAAAUUUAAGAAGGGCAAAUAAUAACGUUGCAGCAAAAAAUAAUGCAUCAACUCUAAACUUCUACAUCAUGCAACAAUUAUUAGAAGAAAAAGAAAGAACCUUCUUGUUCCACAAUUACCUGUGCCCCCGCAAAAAGCGUAUCAGAAGAAACAGUCAUAGCAUAAACUUGCCCAACUGGUCCAUUAAGAUUAUAUUCAGCAGCUGUCUCGAUGUUCCACGCCUUAACAACAUUUGGCAAGCCUACGAAUAUCCAUGGGCCUUCACUGAUUAAAGACCCAAUUUCAUCACCAAGAUUUAUCACCCUUGUGGACUGACCAGUAUGACAAUCCCAAACAUGUACCAUUCCAUCACUGCUGCUUGAAUAAAGCUUAUCAGAUCCUGAAGGAAGUGCCACCCCACAGACAGCCUCAGUGUGUCCCUUGAGGUUUGCCAGCAGUGAAAACCAAUCCCCACGAAACCAUGAAUGCAAGAACUGGCACCCAUCACCUUUAAUACAACUGCCUGACAUCCAGUAAUCACAUGCCUUAUUUGAGCUCUUGUUAACAGUUUUAUCUUCAGAAGCAUCAGAGCACUUGCUGGACGCUCCUAUCUCCUCCAUAUUUCCCGAAUCUGUGCUGGUGCAGGAACUGGAGCUCUCCUCAAUACUUUUAUGCUCAGACACACCACCUCCAGUAGCUGAAGCCAAAGAAUUACUAGGAUUGAGGCGCUUCCUAGGCAGAUGCUUAAUAUCAUGACUGGAACUCUUCUGAACAGUUUUAGCUUCAGAUCCUGCCAUUGAAUUGCCUAGGCCGUAGCUAGACCUCCUCAUCGACUGUCCCUCCAGUAAAACAUUGGAUUCCUUAGAGGUUCUACGGUAAACAUUAGGAGGUUGUGAUUCUCUGUGCAUGAACCUACACGGGUUUCUAUUACACUUUCCCCGCAUCCAGAAGCGACAAACAACGUUGCUAUGCGCAGCUCCUCCUCCAAGUCGUCUAUGAACGGUCUCAGCUUCCAUGCUAAAAGGACAAAACACGAUAGCAGAAUGAACAAGUUGAACCAUACAAUCUUUGGCGAUUCAGUUUUCUCUGACACGAUCAAAACUAAAACCCUAAUCGGAGUCAGAGAAAGCAUAGCAAAAGAUCCCAAUAUAAAGCUGUUCAUCUCUUAUUUGCAAAUCCUUACAGUUCAGAAAUAAACUGAUUCCCCACAAUAAACCUUAAUAAAAAUGGUAAAGAAAGAUCCAGCCAGAUAAACCAUAUAAUAUCCACACACUGAUAAGGCAACCAAAUCCUCAUAUCUCUACACUGUCAAAAUCCACAAAUUGUAGUCUGUAACUAGUUAUAAUCUAGAAUCUUGAAAUCCAAUCGCCGAUCCUCCAGCAAAAGCAAACGAAAAUAAAAGAAAAUCUAAGAAUGAAACCCUAAAUAUCCACCAAAGACAAGCAAAUAAACUGGAUUUGAUCAUCAUCGCAACAGAUUCCUCGGCGAUCAUAGCUUCUUGGUGAUCCAUAAAAGGAUGAUGAUGAUAAAGAAACCCUAAAAUGAUUGGGAUGAACAGAUUGCAAACCUUAUUAUGUAUAAGAACACAGAAGAUCGAUCAAGCUUCCGAAGUAUUCCUGUUGAUCGAUCGGGAGAUCACAAAAGAGAGACCACGGCGCGACGGUGAACAGGUAAAACGAAAGAUGCGUAGGUAUUACGUUUGGAAAAA
rnacentral:misc_RNA from 1 species